AGGGGUGUAGCCAAGUGGUAAGGCCUCGGGUUUUGGCCCCGAUAUUCGCUGGUUCGAGUCCAGCCAUCCCCG
rnacentral:tRNA from 1 species